ACAUGCAAGUCGAACGAUAAGGUCUCUUCGGAGAUACAUAAGUGGCGGACGGGUGAGUAACACGUAGGUUACCUGCCUUGAGGCGGGGGACAACACUGGGAAACCGGUGCUAAUACCCCAUAUGUCCUUCGGGAUGAAAGCUCUGGCGCCUUGAGAUGGGCCUGCGGCUGAUUAGCUAGUUGGUGGGGUAAAUGCCUACCAAUGCGACGAUCAGUAGCUGGUUUGAGAGGAUGAUCAGCCACAAUGGAACUGAGACACGGUCCAUACUCCUACGGGAGGCAGCAGUAGGGAAUUUCGCGCAAUGGGCGAAAGCCUGACGCAGCAACACCGCGUGAGUGAUGAAGCUUUUCGGAGUGUACAACUCUGUCAGUGGGGACGACAAAUGACGGUACCCACAAAGGAAGCACCGGCUAACUCCGUGCCAGCAGCCGCGGUAAGACGGAGGGUGCAAGCGUUGUCCGGAAUUAUUGGGCGUAAAGCGUUCGUAGGCGGCAUGUCAAGUCUGCUGUUAAAGCCCGGAGCUCAACUCCGGUUCGGCAUUGGCUACUGGCAAGCUCGAGUACAGAAGAGGCAAGGGGAAUUCCUAGUGUACCGGUGACAUGCGUAGA
rnacentral:rRNA from 1 species